UACGUAGGGUGCGAGCGUUGUCCGGAAUUACUGGGCGUAAAGAGCUCGUAGGUGGUUUGUCGCGUUGUUCGUGAAAACCGGGGGCUUAACCCUCGGCGUGCGGGCGAUACGGGCAGACUUGAGUACUGCAGGGGAGACUGGAAUUCCUGGUGUAGCGGUGGAAUGCGUAGAGAUCCGGAAGAAUACCAGUGGCGAAGGCGGCCGACUGGGCAGUUGCUGACGCUGAUGCGCGACAGCGUGGGGAGCAAACAGG
rnacentral:rRNA from 1 species